CAGCCGCCGCGGUAAUACCGGCGGCCCGAGUGGCGGCCACUAUUAUUGGGCUUAAAGCGUCCGUAGCCGGGUUGGGAAGUCCUCCGGGAAAUCUGGCCGCUUAACGGUCAGAAUGCCGGAGGAUACUCCCAGCCUAGGGAGCGGGAGAGGCCGAGGGUAUUCCCGGAGUAGGGGUGAAAUCCUAUAAUCCCGGGAGGACCACCUGUGGCGAAGGCGCUCGGCUGGAACGGGUCCGACGGUGAGGGACGAAGGCCAGGGGAGCAAACCGGAUUAGAUACCCGGGUAGUCCUGGCUGUAAACGAUGCGGACUUUGUGUCGGACAAGCUAUGAGCUUGUCCGGUGCCGGAGGGAAACCGUUAAGUCCGCCGCCUGGGGAGUACGGCCGCAAGGCUGAAACUUAAAGGAAUUGGCGGG
rnacentral:rRNA from 1 species